rnacentral:rRNA from 1 species
UACGUAGGGGGGCAAGCGUUGUCCGGAUUCAUUGGGCGUAAAGAGCGUGUAGGCGGCCAGGUAGGUCGGUUGUGAAAACUGGAGGCUCAACCUUCAGAGGUCGACCGAAACCAUCUGGCUAGAGUCCGGGAGAGGAGAGUGGAAUUCCUGGGUGUAGCGGUGAAAUGCGCAGAUAUCAGGAGGAACACCCAUGGCGAAGGCAGGCUCGCUGGGACG